AACAGAUCUGGCUUGUUUUCAGGGCCUAUAGGGCCUGGAUCAAAAGGAAUGUCCAGGUCACCAGGGGGCAUAACAGCAAAGGCCUGCGUUGGCUGUAGCAGUGGAGGAGCUGAUGGUGUAGCAGGUAGACCAGUAAAAGAGCCCGCAGCUCCCUCACUGUCUGGCAAACCACAGGUUUCUGAUUGUGGCCCCACAUGUCUCUUUAAGGCCUUAGAGACUGCUCGCCAGGUGCCGAGCAGUCCCAAUGCUACCUUGCCAUUUUUAGUAGCAGUGUCCCACACCUUGACCUCAAUUUGGUCCCAUCUUUCAGGAUCAUAAACUGUCUGAUUCGUAAUAAAGGGAAUAAGCUGUAAGGUUACCAGGACA